rnacentral:rRNA from 1 species
GACGGAGGGGGCAAGCGUUGUUCGGAAUUAUUGGGCGUAAAGGGCUCGUAGGCGGAUCAGUCAGUCUGACGUGAAAUCUCCACCGCUCACCGGGGAGGGCCGUUGGAUACUGCUGAUCUGGAGUACGGUAGAGGACCAUGGAAUUCCAGGUGUAGCGGUGGAAUGCGUAGAUAUCUGGAAGAACACCGGUGGCGAAGGCGGCCUGCUGGGCAGUAGCUGGACACUGAUGCGCGACAGCGUGGGGAGCAAACAGGG